rnacentral:rRNA from 1 species
UACAGAGGUGGCAAGCGUUGUUCGGAAUUACUGGGCGUAAAGGGCGCGUAGGCGGUCUUCUAAGUCUUGUGUGAAACCCCUCGGCUCAACUGAGGAACUGCACGGGAUACUGGAAGACUUGAGUUCGGGAGAGGGAAGCGGAAUUCCGGGUGUAGCGGUGAAAUGCGUAGAUAUCCGGAGGAACACCGGUGGCGAAGGCGGCUUCCUGGACCGAUUACUGACGCUGAGGCGCGAAAGCUAGGGGAGCAAACGGG